UACGGAGGGUGCAAGCGUUGUCCGGAAUUAUUGGGCGUAAAGAGCUCGUAGGCGGUUUGUCGCGUCUGCUGUGAAAACCUAAGGCUCAACCUUGGGCUUGCAGUGGGUACGGGCAGACUAGAGUGCGGUAGGGGUGACUGGAAUUCCAGGUGUAGCGGUGAAAUGCGUAGAUAUCUGGAGGAACACCGGUGGCGAAGGCGGCAUCCUGGACCGGUAUUGACGCUGAGGCGCGAAAGCUAGGGGAGCAAACGGG
rnacentral:rRNA from 1 species